UGCAGGAACUUAGAGAAGCUUCGGCUAAUAUUGAACCAAAGCAUCGAAACGACAUUGCAGAUUUAAUAAAUAGUUACAAAAGUUUAUACCCAAAAUGGGUUUUUGAUCUCAGCUGAAAAAGGCUUUUACAUUAAUCACCCUUGAAGUUACUUUCUACAGAUGUGGUUUUGUCUUCUAAUGUAUGAAUCUGAAGUGCAUUUCUAUUCUUCUAUUUGCUGUUAAGACUUGAAACUGAAGACAGAGCAAUGAGACUUCUAAGUAAUGUGUCAUUUUUGUUGAAACCAGGGGGUUAUUUUUUCGGUAUUACUCCUGAAAAAGUGAUUGCCAAAAAUUGUUGUUUCUGGAUUUGUGUAUUUUUUUUCUUUUGGUUCUCGCU